rnacentral:rRNA from 1 species
GUAGGGAAUAUUGGGCAAUGGAUGCAAGUCUGACCCAGCCAUGCCGCGUGCAGGAAGAAGGUCCUCUGGAUUGUAAACUGCUUUUUUGGGGGAAGAAUAGUUUUCUUGCGAGGAAAUGUGACGGUACCCUAAGAAUAAGCCACGGCUAACUACGUGCCAGCAGCCGCGGUAAUACGUAGGUGGCAAGCGUUGUCCGGAUUUAUUGGGUUUAAAGGGUGCGUAGGUGGUUUGAUAAGUCAGUGGUGAAAGCCGGUUGCUCGACAAUCGAGUUGCCAUUGAUACUGUCGGACUUGAGAGAAGUGGAGGUUCAUGGAAUGGAUGGUGUAGCGGUGAAAUGCAUAGAUAUCAUCCAGAACGUCGAUUGCGAAGGCAGUGGGCUGUACUUUAUCUGACACUGAGGCACGAAAGUGUGGGGAUCAAACAGGAUUAGAUACCCUAGUAGUCC